AUUGAACGCUGGCGGCAGGCCUAACACAUGCAAGUCGAGCGGAUGAAGGGAGCUUGCUCCUGGAUUCAGCGGCGGACGGGUGAGUAAUGCCUAGGAAUCUGCCUGGUAGUGGGGGAUAACGUCCGGAAACGGGCGCUAAUACCGCAUACGUCCUGAGGGAGAAAGUGGGGGAUCUUCGGACCUCACGCUAUCAGAUGAGCCUAGGUCGGAUUAGCUAGUUGGUGGGGUAAAGGCCUACCAAGGCGACGAUCCGUAACUGGUCUGAGAGGAUGAUCAGUCACACUGGAACUGAGACACGGUACAGACUCCGACGGGAGGCAGCGGUGGGGAAUAUUGGACGAUGGGCGAAAGCCUGAUCCAGCCAUGCCGCGUGUGUGAAGAAGGUCUUCGGAUUGUAAAGCACUUUAAGUUGGGAGGAAGGGCAGUAAGUUAAUACCUUGCUGUUUUGACGUUACCAACAGAAUAAGCACCGGCUAACUUCGUG
rnacentral:rRNA from 1 species